rnacentral:rRNA from 1 species
UUUAUAUGAGAGUUUGAUCCUGGCUCAGGAUGAACGCUGGCGGUGUGCCUAAUACAUGCAAGUCGAACGCGUUGGCCCAAUUGAUUGAUGGUGCUUGCACCUGAUUGAUUUUGGUCGCCAACGAGUGGCGGACGGGUGAGUAACACGUAGGUAACCUGCCCAGAAGCGGGGGACAACAUUUGGAAACAGAUGCUAAUACCGCAUAACAGCGUUGUUCGCAUGAACAACACUUAAAAGAUGGCUUCUCGCUAUCACUUCUGGAUGGACCUGCGGUGCAUUAGCUUGUUGGUGGGGUAACGGCCUACCAAGGCGAUGAUGCAUAGCCGAGUUGAGAGACUGAUCGGCCACAAUGGGACUGAGACACGGCCCAUACUCCUACGGGAGGCAGCAGUAGGGAAUCUUCCACAAUGGGCGCAAGCCUGAUGGAGCAACACCGCGUGAGUGAAGAAGGGUUUCGGCUCGUAAAGCUCUGUUGUUAAAGAAGAACACGUAUGAGAGUAACUGUUCAUACGUUGACGGUAUUUAACCAGAAAGUCACGGCUAACUACGUGCCAGCAGCCGCGGUAAUACGUAGGUGGCAAGCGUUAUCCGGAUUUAUUGGGCGUAAAGAGAGUGCAGGCGGUUUUCUAAGUCUGAUGUGAAAGCCUUCGGCUUAACCGGAGAAGUGCAUCGGAAACUGGAUAACUUGAGUGCAGAAGAGGGUAGUGGAACUCCAUGUGUAGCGGUGGAAUGCGUAGAUAUAUGGAAGAACACCAGUGGCGAAGGCGGCUACCUGGUCUGCAACUGACGCUGAGACUCGAAAGCAUGGGUAGCGAACAGGAUUAGAUACCCUGGUAGUCCAUGCCGUAAACGAUGAGUGCUAGGUGUUGGAGGGUUUCCGCCCUUCAGUGCCGGAGCUAACGCAUUAAGCACUCCGCCUGGGGAGUACGACCGCAAGGUUGAAACUCAAAGGAAUUGACGGGGGCCCGCACAAGCGGUGGAGCAUGUGGUUUAAUUCGAAGCUACGCGAAGAACCUUACCAGGUCUUGACAUCUUGCGCCAACCCUAGAGAUAGGGCGUUUCCUUCGGGAACGCAAUGACAGGUGGUGCAUGGUCGUCGUCAGCUCGUGUCGUGAGAUGUUGGGUUAAGUCCCGCAACGAGCGCAACCCUUGUUACUAGUUGCCAGCAUUAAGUUGGGCACUCUAGUGAGACUGCCGGUGACAAACCGGAGGAAGGUGGGGACGACGUCAGAUCAUCAUGCCCCUUAUGACCUGGGCUACACACGUGCUACAAUGGACGGUACAACGAGUCGCGAACUCGCGAGGGCAAGCAAAUCUCUUAAAACCGUUCUCAGUUCGGACUGCAGGCUGCAACUCGCCUGCACGAAGUCGGAAUCGCUAGUAAUCGCGGAUCAGCAUGCCGCGGUGAAUACGUUCCCGGGCCUUGUACACACCGCCCGUCACACCAUGAGAGUUUGUAACACCCAAAGUCGGUGGGGUAACCUUUUAGGAGCCAGCCGCCUAAGGUGGGACAGAUGAUUAGGGUGAAGUCGUAACAAGGUAGCCGUAGGAGAACCUGCGGCUGGAUCACCUCCUUUCUA